GGCCCAUUAGCUCAGUUGGUUAGAGCGUCGUGCUAAUAACGUGAAGGUGUGAGUUCGAGACCUACAUGGGCUA
rnacentral:tRNA from 1 species